rnacentral:lncRNA from 1 species
UACAUUUAUUACACAGGGUAUAGACUUAAAUGGCCACGUUUUCUAACUGGUGGACUGAAUUUACUGGUUGUAAAAUUGGAUAUUUUUGCUGUUCUAUUGGCUGUGGUAGAGACUGCAGAAAAGGAAUUCGUAUUUAUGGUUAAAGGCAAUAACCUACAUUUGUGGUAAAAUGUGGUUUUACUUUUUAACUUUUUUAAAAAUAAAUAAUAAAGUUCAAC